rnacentral:rRNA from 1 species
GUGGGGAAUCUUCCGCAAUGGACGAAAGUCUGACGGAGCAACGCCGCGUGAGUGAUGAAGGUCUUCGGAUUGUAAAGCUCUGUUAAUCGGGACGAAAGAGCCUAGUGUGAAUAAUGCUAGGAAGUGACGGUGCCGGAAUAGAAAGCCACGGCUAACUACGUGCCAGCAGCCGCGGUAAUACGUAGGUGGCAAGCGUUGUCCGGAAUUAUUGGGCGUAAAGCGCGCGCAGGCGGAUCUGCCAGUCUGUCUUAAAAGUUCGGGGCUUAACCCCGUGAUGGGAUGGAAACUACAGAGCUAGAGUAUCGGAGAGGAAAGUGGAAUUCCGAGUGUAGCGGUGAAAUGCGUAGAUAUUAGGAAGAACACCAGUGGCGAAGGCGACUUUCUGGACGAAAACUGACGCUGAGGCGCGAAAGCCAGGGGAGCGAACGGGAUUAGAUACCCUAGUAGUCC